UCUUCAAAUAAGCGACGCAUGACCGCAUAAUGACCAGAGAUAUCACUGUUCUGCGUUAAUGAACUGCAGUUUACACACAAAUAUCACUGUAUUUACAUCCGUAUCUCUCAGUUCAUACGCUGUCCGUGUGAACGCGCCGCAGUCAUGGUGAAGGAGCAGUUUAGAGAGACGGAUGUGGCUAAAAAGGUAAGUCACAUCUGUUUUGAUAUGAAUGGAGCAGAUGAGACAGCAAGCUCAUAUUCAGGUGGUCAGUAAGAAUCUGUAGAGUCAGGACACGAGUCGGACACCUCUGCCGUAUGGAGUCCUGGACCACUGCACGAUAAGACUGCAAAAUAAGAACAUUAAAUGCUUUUAAAUACAGACCUGAGACUUCACCAUCUGUCUAAUGUGUGUUGUUUUUUGCAUUUAGGGCACCAGUGAGAAGGACAGACCAUGUGAAACGUGCGGUUUCUCGGUCACUACGGCUAUCUAGAUUUGGAACUGCCAUGUUUGCAUAUCGGAUACUUUAAAGCCAUCAUCGGAAUCCUGCAGGCAAGUGCUGAAUGAUCUGUAAGACAUGUCCACAUGUUCACACAUUCUUCUUUCCAAAGAGGAGAAACUUCAGUUUCUGGAUUACUUGUGCAAGCCUGGUCUGGUUUACCUGCAGAAACGUGGUCUUAAGAAGAAAAUCUCAGAUAAAUGCAGAAAGAAAACCACAUGUGUGAACUGCAGUGCAUUUUUGCUGGGAUUCAUCCUCCGCCACCCGGAUUGAGGCGAAUCACUACGCGACCACGAGGACUUAAAAAUUGGGCAUUCCAAAUUGGGUGAAAAAGGGGAAAAAUCCCCACAAAAAAACAAAACAAAAAACAAAUGCUUUUGUUAUUGAUUCUCUGAUUUCUCUUCAGGCCCGGUCAAGAAAUGUGGCUUAUUGAAGAUAAUUCAUUUAAAAUAUAAAACCACGAAGAAGGUCAUCGACCCCAUGGUGACUUUCUGCAGUCGUCUGAUGUCGCCAUCGAACACAAUAAAGAAGUGGAGUCUCUAUAGGCCAGAGCGCAGGUGAAUAAAGUGUUUUAGCCGGAUGUCCUGCCUGUGAUAUUAUUCAGAUCUCCAUAAAGGUGUGUCUGAGUGCAUUAUAAUGGGAAUUCCCAUGAAGCUCGGCACUGGACUCUUUAAACUUUUACACAGUGCUGUGAAGGACCCGACUCCCCCCCGCAGGCCUUUGCUCUUUGAUAAUCCUGAUUUCCACAUUUCAAUAGCUCCAUAACCCUGUUUUUGGACUGUUUCAGCUCCUGUUGAGUGUAAUGACUGUUUACUGCAGCUGUGUGUCAUUAAGUUCUGAAACCAAAUUAUUUGUUUUACAGUUUGCGGCUUGAAAGGAUCAUUUUGUGCCUUUUUUCCCCUUGCUAAACUGCUGGAAGACAGUGGAAAAUGUUGGCAAGGAUAAGUCAAGAACGAUGACAUCUUUUGUGGUGUGUGAAAGAUGGAUCUUUGACUGUGUUUAUUAGGGGUUCAAGCCCGAAGGGCUGCAACCCUAUUGUAAUUGUAAGGAUUUUUAUUUUUAUUAUUAUUCUGCCCUAAAACUGAUCAUGCAGACCAAACCGUAAGUUGUAGAGAGCUGAAACUCUGAGGGAAGGUAGUCCCCCAGAGUACUACAGUGUACCAAAGUUUCGACCCGAUCGGCCUCAAGGUGGCGCUAAAGUGAUCAUGUUUCCGUUUUGGCCCAUAACUCCUAAACCGUUUGUCGCAGUGUCUUACAUCAUUGGAUUCCUUGGCUCAAGACGAACAAAACGUAUAUCUCCGAUUUCAUUUCCUUCAUGAAAAUGUUUGCGCUAAUUUGCAUAAUCCGAAAAACCUACUUUUUCUAACUCCUCCUAGGCCGUAUGUCCGAUUUGCACAAAAAUUGGGCUGUGUCUACUAUGAACCCUCCUGACAAAACGUCUAUCAAAGGAAUUUUGAUUCGUCGAAGCGUUGCGAAGAUAUAAGCCAACAAAUUGGUCAGGCGUCAUCCAUUUUGUACGUAUUGACCAAUAUCUACCAAAUGAAAAGGCCAAAUGUUACGAAUCUAGAUACACAUAGACAACAGGACAUUCUGAGGAUGCACGCAAAAUUACGCCUAUAGGGGGCGCUACAACAAAAAAACGCCCAUAACUCCACAACCGUAUGAUCAAUGACGUUAAAAAUUGGUAUGCAUCUUGUAGGGGCCAAAGGCUAACAUAUCCUGUAAUAUCAGUUGGACAAAUAAAAAACAUGGCUGCCAACAGCCAAUUAAAUUUUAGCAGCUAAUAACAUCAAAUCUGAAUGGCCGACUGUUACGAAACUUGAGAUAUUUGUAGACAGUGUCAGAAUGAGGCUGUGUACCAAGUUUUAUGAAAAUAGGCCUCAAGGUGGCGCUAUAACAAGGACAUUUACUUUUUUGCCAAUAACUCCGGAACCGAGUUGAAUAAUCUCAAAAUUAUUUUUUCCUCUAAUUCCUUGUACCAAGACCUACAAAAUGUAUAUCUCCAUUUUAUUGCAUUUUAUAAAAUGUUUCCACUAUUCUAAUUUUCUAAAAAAGCAACUUUUUCAAACUCCUAGGCUGCAUAUCCGAUUCUCACAAAAAUUGGUGUGUGUCUACUAUGAACUAUUCGCAAAAUCGCGAAAAGAUGCACCUAUAGGGGGCGCUACAACUAAAAAAUGCUCAUAACUCCGCAACUGUAUUAUCAAUGAAGUUGAAAAUUGGUAUGCUUCUUGUAGGGGCCAAAUGCUAACAUACUGUAUUUUACAAUAUGACACAGACAAAUAAAAAAAAACAUGGCUGCCAGCAGCCAAUCAAAUUUCAGCAAAAUGGCUGUAUAAAUGGUGUGUAAAUUAUUGUAUAUUAUCCAAUGUAACCUGCUAUUGUGAACUACAUCUAGGACUCCCUAGGUCAAUAAUUAUUAAAGAAAAGUUGAACUUUAGUUAUUUAUUUAGGGGUUGCAUUUAUCAUGUGGGUUUGACCAAGUGUAUCCAAAAGCCUAUAAUUCCUAAAAUAAAUAUUACAAUUUAUAAAACCUUUUUGGAGAUUGGGUGCUUUGUGGCUUUAUAACAGUUAAAAAGUACAAAAAUGACCAUCAUAACAAUUAUCCUGUUUCAGGAUCGUUGAACACAAUACAUCAGAGUCAUAUUUAACACCAGUUUGCAAAUUCAGCAACUUACAAAGUACAUAUACAAAUACAUACCUUUUUUGCAUACUUUGAAAGUUCUUAAAAGGCUUGAACCCUGACAACUGAUUUGAUUUGAUUUGAUUUGAAUUGCUGCUUGCAGCUAUAUUUAUUAUUAUUAUCAUUAUUAUUAUUAUUAUUAUUAUUAUUGCGAUGAUAAUAGGGUUCCACCUCAAUUCUGGGCCUUUAUGUUAGGAUCCCUAGAAACAUUGGAACUCUUUUUUCUCAUUUUGAGAAGGUUUAUGAAAUUGUAUUCUUUGCUAACCAACUGUUAAAUAGAUUAAAUGUGCUUAUAGGUCGAUCAAAUUAGGAUUUACCUAAUUUAAAUACAUUUUUCUGACCUGACAGGGUCAAGUCUAAUUUAUACAACUGAAAGAAACAUGUAUUUGGUUUUUGUUUUGUUUUUGUUUUUUUACUACUGUAAAUAGAUAUUUAUGUAAAUAUGUACCAGGUGUGAAUAAAAUGUAUGUU